AACACUAUAAGACGAGAAGACCCCAUGGAGCUUUAAACCCAAUUAUAUCCCUAACCCCUAUACCCAUUUAACCUCUUAGGCCUAUAUACUUGGUUUUAGGUUGGGGCGACCACGGAGUAAAACCAAACCUCCAUGAUGUACGGAACAACCUCCUUAUCUAAGAGCCACAGCUCUAAGAAUUAGCACACUAUCAUAAAAUGACCCAUUAUUGAUCAACGAACCAAGUUACCCUGGGGAUAACAGCGCAAUCCAUUUUAAGAGCCCCU
rnacentral:rRNA from 1 species